AAAUAUUUUAAGCUUAAAAGUGCUUAAUACUAAAUAGUAUUGAGAUAAUAGGGAAAUCGGUGAGAAACCGAUGCAGCCCCCGCUACUGUAAGCGCUGAUGAAAUUGCGAUAAUCCACUGACAAUAACGUCGGGAAGGAAGCAAAAGUAAGUAGAAGCGUAAGCCAGGAAACCUGCUUUUAAAGUUGUUUGUAU
rnacentral:ncRNA from 2 species